rnacentral:rRNA from 1 species
CCUACGGGUGGCAGCAGUGGGGAAUAUUGGACAAUGGGGGGAACCCUGAUCCAGCGACGCCGCGUGAGUGAAGAAGUAUUUCGGUAUGUAAAGCUCUAUCAGCAGGGAAGAAAAUGACGGUACUUGACUAAGAAGCCCCGGCUAACUACGUGCCAGCAGCCGCGGUAAUACGCCGGGGGCAAGCGUUAUCCGGAUUUACUGGGUGGAAAGGGAGCGUAGACGGUGCAGCAAGUCUGAUGUGAAAGGUCGGGGCUGAACCCGGGGACUGCAUUUGAAACUGUUGAACUGGAGUACAGGAGAGGUAAGCAGAAUUCCUAGUGUAGCGGUGAAAUGCGUAGAUAUGAGGAGGAAGACCAGUGGCGAAGGCGGCUUACUGGACUGUGACUGACGUUGAGGCUCGAAAGCGUGGGGAGCAAACAGGAUUAGAUACCCUAGUAGUC